rnacentral:tRNA from 1 species
GGGCGCAUAACUCAGCGGAAGAGUGCGAUCCUCACACGGUCGAAGUCGCAGGUUCAAACCCUGCUGCGCCCA